CCCCUAGAUGUUCUGGGCCGCACGCGCGCUACACUGAACAGUUCAACAAGUCUUAACCUUGGCCGAUAGGUCUGGGUAAUCUUUGAACGCUGUUCGUGAUUGGGAUAGACCUUUGCAAUUAUGGGUCUUCAACGAGGAAUUCCUAGUAAACGCAAGUCAUCAGCUUGCAUUGAUUACGUCCCUGCCCUUUGUACACACCGCCCGUCGCACCUACCGAUUGGACGUUUUAGUGAGGAUUUUGGACUGAGCCAAUGGUGGUUCACACCACUGUUGUGCAUGGAAAGAUCUCCAAACUUGAGCGUUUAGAGGAAGUAAAANUCGUANCA
rnacentral:rRNA from 1 species